UGGGGAAUUUUGGACAAUGGGGGCAACCCUGAUCCAGCCAUGCCGCGUGUCUGAAGAAGGCCUUCGGGUUGUAAAGGACUUUUGUCAGGGAAGAAAAGCCUCGGGUUAAUACCCCGGGGUGAUGACGGUACCUGAAGAAUAAGCACCGGCUAACUACGUGCCAGCAGCCGCGGUAAUACGUAGGGUGCGAGCGUUAAUCGGAAUUACUGGGCGUAAAGCGGGCGCAGACGGUUACUUAAGCAGGAUGUGAAAUCCCCGGGCUCAACCUGGGAACUGCGUUCUGAACUGGGUGACUAGAGUAUGUCAGAGGGGGGUAGAAUUCCACGUGUAGCAGUGAAAUGCGUAGAGAUGUGGAGGAAUACCGAUGGCGAAGGCAGCCCCCUGGGAUAAUACUGACGUUCAUGCCCGAAAGCGUGGGUAGCAAACAGG
rnacentral:rRNA from 1 species